UACGUAGGGCGCGAGCGUUAUCCGGAAUUAUUGGGCGUAAAGAGCUCGUAGGCGGUUUGUCACGUCUGCUGUGAAAACUGGAGGCUCAACCUCCAGCCUGCAGUGGGUACGGGCAGACUAGAGUGCGGUAGGGGAGAUUGGAAUUCCUGGUGUAGCGGUGGAAUGCGCAGAUAUCAGGAGGAACACCGAUGGCGAAGGCGGUUCUCUGGGCAUUACCUGACGCUGAGGAGCGAAAGUGUGGGGAGCGAACAGG
rnacentral:rRNA from 1 species